AACUUUCAACGGUGGAUAUCUAGGUUCCCGUGACGAUGAAGAACGCAGCGAAAUGCGAUACGCAAUGCGAAUUGCAGAACCGCGAGUCAUCAGAUCUUUGAACGCAAGUGGUGGAGGUGUAAAAACCUUCAUGUUUGUUUCAGUGUGG
rnacentral:rRNA from 1 species